UGGGAGAAUCUGUAAAGCUCAGGAGGGAUAGCACCAUGAUACUGAUGAUGUUCAUAGCAGUACAAACUUGGCGCUAUCUAUCUUGAGCUUCAUGGCUUCUUCAU
rfam:Glycine soja cultivar W05 scaffold55_22, whole genome shotgun sequence.